rnacentral:rRNA from 1 species
UACGUAGGGGGCAAGCGUUGUCCGGAUUUACUGGGCGUAAAGAGCGCGUAGGCGGACGUUUAAGUGUGGCCUGAAAGCCCCCGGCUCAACCGGGGAUCCGGGUUGCAAACUGGACGUCUUGAGGGGGAUAGGGGAAGGUGGAAUUCCUGGUGUAGCGGUGAAAUGCGUAGAGAUCCGGAGGAACCCCAGAGGCGAAGGCGGCGUUCUGGCUCGCAACUGACGCUCAGACACGACAGCAUGGGGAGCGAACGGG